GCCCGGGGAGGGAUGCAGGAAAAAAGGGUCCCCGCCUGCCCCCACCCCGGAGCGAGGCAGGGAGCCGGGAGCCAUCCUCCGCUUUUGGCACGGUUUGGGAAAGGUUUUUGUGUUCAAGAUGCUCGGGUCCUGCUUUUUUGUCCUCCCCAAGAGAGCCCUGAUUUGCAGCCUCAUCGCAUAGGACGCGAAGCACCCCCAGCCGGCUCACCUUCCAGCCUGCUCUCCCUUUGUUCUGCAUAGCUAACAGGAGCAUUUACGGGGCCACAGUCCUGUGCUAAAAGAGGGAAUGCCUCAGAAAAUAAGCGCAGAGCCGCGAUGUAACCUCCAAACCCGUCCCCUAGUCAGCAGCUGCUGCUGGCAACCAAACAUCACCAUCCUAUCGCGCUCUCCCUCAAAAAUAAAGGCACCCAGGAAAUUUUGGAGGGCGUAGGGGAGGGGGACAGACACUUUUCCUACCAGAAUCUGUGCAGUUUGUAUCCCUGAUAAAGCAAGCAACAAAUCAUGGGAGGUGCCUUGCUCCAAGGAGACUUUUCUAUCUGCUCUACUUCCCACCCUAUGGUGAGCAGCAUGACUUGACAGGUGUCAUUCAUCCCUCUGAAGCUGCAGUACUUUGGAAGGGAUCCUGGAAAUGCCAAAAGCACUAAGUUUUGACAGCCCGGAGAUAGGAAAAUCUCCAAGGAGUUCCUGUGUAAAACUGCAAAUAUCAGCUCAAGGAACUGGAUAUGGAUUUGAGAGACCUUGUGGAGAACUUCUGAACUAGAAGCCAGUGAAUUAAUUACAUUAAUUCACA